UACAGGGGGGGCAAGCGUUGUUCGGAAUUACUGGGCGUAAAGGGUCUGUAGGUGGCCAACUAAGUCAAACGUGAAAUCCCUCAGCUUAACUGGGGAACUGCGUCUGAUACUGGAUGGCUCGAGUGUGGGGGAGGAAUGCGGAAUUCCAGGUGUAGCGGUGAAAUGCGUAGAUAUCUGGAGGAACACCGGUGGCGGAGGCGGCAUUCUGGACCACAACUGACACUGAGAGACGAAAGCCAGGGGAGCAAACGGG
rnacentral:rRNA from 1 species